AGCUAGUCUGAUGUAGUCAUCUCAACAAUUAUCAGAUAUUGUUGACAAAGAGAAUGCAUCACUGGGUGAGUAAUGUUCAUAAUCUAGUUGUAGCCAUCCCAGAAUGAGGCUUGAGUGACAUUACAAUACGUUGCCAAAAUGUUGAUAUUGGACUCGUUGGAGGAGCAGGCUUAGGUUCCAUUGUGAUAUGUGAGUCAAUAGCCAAUGGGAAUUGAAGUUGUAUCUAAAAUGACAAGCAAAUGAAGGUACAGCUUUCAAAUUCUAAAAGUUAAUGACCCUCUCAGAAAAGACCAAAGUUGACACAGGAAAGAACGGUGGAUUUCCGGGUAUACAAAAGACUAAAGACAUCCAGAAAUUACUUCUUUGUGAAGAAGAAUUAAGUCCUGGCAUAGAGACUGGACAGCUGGAAGAGCACUUGGGGAACGGAAGUUCAGAAGCUCAGCUCAUGGUUUUGUCUGUUUGCCAUCAGACAUUUUUAGAGCCCUUGUGAAUUGUAAAGACCACUAUUAUUCAAAACCUCAGACUCCUAAUACCUGGGAAAGGCAAUGGAAAGAGAAUUUUCCUUUGGGUAAAUACAGGGGAAGCAGCAGAGAAGAGAAUGGCCUCUGAGGCCCCUUCCUGAGGACUGGCCAGAUUUCCACCCUGCUGGUAGGGAAAGGACAUUUCUGCCAGGAGACUUGGCUGCUUUUUGACUGGAAAGGAAAUUCCUGGAGAGAGACUUUACUGUUCCAAGGCUUUUGAGAUACAAGGGAAUCCCAGUAACCAAGGAUCAUGGGGAAGGCCAGAAAGCUGAUGCAUCCAGUCCUGAGAGCUCAGGCCAUCUCCUCAAAAGGAAGAGAUGCUGCUCUGGCCUUGGGGGAUGAAGGCCAGCACAGGGACUGACUCAUAAACCCGGGAACUGUGUGACUCCCCUUCCCACCAGCCAAUCCCCAUUCUUUCCUCUGUUCAUAGACCCUGUAAGUCCAUAGAAGGGCAAGCAAUGAGCAACUUGACUUGUCCCCUUCCCCUCAGACCUGUCCUUAAUAAUUGAAAGGAAGGGUAUUUUUUUCUUUUAAAGCUCCACAUUAAGGCUGGUACAGUUCCUCCUCUCCCUCUUAGCACUUGGGAUUUGACACAUGAAACCUACCCAUUGUUCAUCUGUACGGCUCAUCCCCUUUCCAUGAAGAGUCCAUCUCACCGCCUCCUGCCAGCUUGGUGCUUUCUCCAAGGGCCACAAUGUCUCACCUAGCCUGAGGGCUUAAGUCCUAAUGCUGUGUUACUUACAUUGCCAGAACAAAUUAAGAUUCACAAAGAAAAAAAAAAAACUGGGGUGCCUGGCUGGCUCAGUCGGUACAACACAUGACUUGAUUUCAGGGUUGUGAGUUGAAGCCCCAUGUCAGGCGUGGAGCUUAUUUAAAAAAAAAAAAAAAGCCACUUCUCUUGUGUACAAUGACCCCACCACAAAGGCAGCUCUGUAAUUCAUACUGUGAGUUGCCUAGUUGGUUGCACUG
rnacentral:lncRNA from 1 species